rnacentral:misc_RNA from 1 species
UUAACUAUUGUAUAGUACUCAGACAGUAAAUGAUUCAGGGUGUUGGUUCUCUGGCAGGCGCUAACUAGCUAGGCGCCAGUAGCACAGAGGCAGGCCUGCCAAAGCAACAAAGGUAUGUAAACAUAGGGUGGGAGAUCUACCCAGAGGGCAGGUUCUCAGUAAUGAUCCUUCCGCAGGUUCACCUACGGAAA